GCGUUGGUGGUAUAGCGGUUAGAAUAGUUGCCUUCCAAGCAAUUGACCCGGGUUCAACUCCCGGCCAACGCA
rnacentral:tRNA from 2 species